GGCAGAAAGAGGGGAAAGGUUGCUGUCUUGGAACUAGUAGUUGAUGUGUACGCUAUUGAGUUUGUAAGAUUCAUCACAUUUAUUAGUCGCCCUUCAUAUGUUUCUGCAGCAGCUAUUAAGGAAAAUUUAUUUGAUGUGGCUUUAAAAACAAAUAUUCUUGAUACUGGCUCUAAUGGUUCCUUGAGGUAAGGCCUUUAGUUCGAUUUUCCAAGUUUAAUAUAGUUCUACACACAUCAGAGGUCAAUAUUUUAAAGACUGGUUGUUCUUUACAGGCCAGUCUGAUUUUCUUUCUUUUUAAAAAAAUCUAUUUUAGGUGCUUAAACUGAUUAGAAAAGGUAUCGCGUUGACAUCAUACGCUGGAAAGCUGGUUGGGGUCAUCUAGGACAUGUUACUUCUGAUUCUUCAAUCCAUAGUGCUCUUUUUCAGAUUGUUUGCAGGACUUCACAAGCAUUGGAGGUCUGAAUGCUCUGAUUCUGUUUGGUCAGAAUUUGCUAUUUAAUUUUGUUUCUUCACUGAUUUGAGCAUUUUUCUUCCUAUAAUCUUUUUCUUCUUUUGUCUUGUUUUUUUCCAUUUAUCUUGCAGAAACUUCAUGUUAGCCGUCUCUUUGAUGUCACGAAAAUUGAAGGAUACAUCUUCCAGCCUCCCCAUCUUUCUUUAAUCAAUUUUGUCAUCUGCAA